GGGUCUGUAGCUCAGGUGGUUAGAGCGCACGCCUGAUAAGCGUGAGGUCGGAGGUUCAACUCCUCCCAGACCCA
rfam:Endosymbiont of Acanthamoeba sp. TWC8 chromosome, complete genome.